rnacentral:rRNA from 1 species
CAGUAGCCGCGGUAAUACGUAGGGUGCGAGCGUUAAUCGGAAUUACUGGGCGUAAAGCGUGCGCAGGCGGUUCGUUAAGACAGAUGUGAAAUCCCCGGGCUUAACCUGGGAACUGCAUUUGUGACUGGCGAGCUAGAGUAUGGCAGAGGGGGGUAGAAUUCCACGUGUAGCAGUGAAAUGCGUAGAGAUGUGGAGGAAUACCGAUGACGAAGGCAGCCCCCUGGGCCAAUACUGACGCUCAUGCGCGAAAGCGUGGGGAGUAAACAGGAUUAGAUACCCCUGUAGUCCCUGUCUCUUAUAC